AUGAAGAAGGCUCCAGAGCAGCACAGGAUGACCGCCUCGGUGUUGACUGUUGUGACCGUAGUGGUCACGGUGGUGGCAGUGGUGUUGGCGAAGAGGACGGUGAUAGCGGAUGUGGGGAUGGCCCAGGAGGGGUUUGUGAUGGUGGCAAAGGCGGUGGCGCACAAGUGGUUGGAGGCUUUGGUGGACAGUAUGGCAGCUACCAAGGAAGAGAGGAUGACGGCUGCAGAUGCAGAAAGGACGACGACAGUAGAGGAGAAAUCGUGGGUGACAAGGGUUAUGGAGAUGUGCCUGGAGAUGGUGAUGCAGAAGACAAUCGAAGGGUUGGUGCAGAAAGUGACAGCAGUGCUGGCGGAGAUGACAGUGGAGCAGAUAACUGUGGCAUCGGCAGUGCUGCCGGUGGUGGCAGCGGUGGUGGCCAUGGCACUAAGGUUCAUCAAGGAACCCGUCCAAGAAGAAGCCAUCAUGAUGGUGCUCUGCUCCAUCGCUGAGGAGAGGAAGAAGAGAGCUAAAAAGAAGGGCGCAAGGUUUUGGGCUUUCUUUGUAGGUCUGUUCAGAGCCCAAUCCAAAGAAACUGUUGGUAAUAAGAGCCUGGUGCAAAACUCGGAAGACUCCAGAGAGGACCGAUGGAAAGGCGAGGCUUACCCCAGCAUGCAGGCCUACCCCAGCCCCCUCCCCAGGGGCAGCCACUGUGCCCCGGUCUUGGGUAUUCCCUUACUCCCCUUGAAAUGGUCUUUGGAAACCAUUCAUUUCCUUGCGUUUGUGUUUAUUGAUGAAAGCUUAGAAAAAUCCAGAAAAGAAUCAGGAGACCACUAUCAGUGUUACCACCCAGAAAAUCAUCCUUAAAGGAAUGUGUUAAACAUUCCUCCAGCUUCAGCACACCUUCUAAUACCACGUGUCGGCAUCUCCAACAUACUCACAUUCUUCCCGUUCAGACUUCUUUGAACAUUGUUACCAAUUAACACUAACAUAUGUGACGUCGUCCUUUAAAAUGUUUUGUAAAUAUGCGUCAUGGCUGUGGAGCAUCCCGGCACUGAGCCGGGUCCCCGGUGUGGUUUUCCCUGCUGCAGCGAACAUUUUGUGUUAACCUCCUUCCUUCACAUCUUGGACUCGCACAGACACGUUCCCCAGAGUAAGACUG
rnacentral:lncRNA from 1 species